GGGGCCGGGCGGGGCCAGCAGAGGCAGCAGCGCGUGGGAGCCGCGGCUGGCUGAGGGGGCGCGCGAUGCCGCGCGCACCGCCACGCUGGGACUCCAACCGCCACUCCCGCCCCUCACGGCAACAGCGAUGGUGCCAUUACCGGCCCCAGCCCGGCCCGCACCAGGACCCCACAAGCCUACCGCUCACCCCAGCACUUCUUCGCGCCAGCCUGCGCCCGCCCCUUCCCGUUCCGGGAGGACGGCAGCUUCCCCAGGCCCUAGCGCUCGGGCUGGGGACCGAGCUCAGGAGGAGGAGGUGGUGCAGCCUUCGCCCCGCCCCACACAGCGGCGCCGUUGCCCGGCAGCCGCUUCCAUGGGUUCGCUGCGGGAGCGCUGUGCCAGGGUUUUUGAAGCGUGUGAUGAAGGUAACAAAGGCUAUUUGAACAGAGAGGACUUUGAGGUUGCCGUAGUAAUGUUGUUUGGUUAUAAGCUCUCAGAGGUGGAGGUGGAUUCGAUAAUGUCUUCUGUGAGACCAGGAAAUUCAGGUAUAUUAUUUGAAAAGUUUUUAAAUCUCAUGAGUGCAAAGAAAUCUGCACAACUACAUAGUGAUGAAACAAGAGAAAUAUUCACAGCGUUUGACAUGCAAGAUAGAGGAUUCUUGACUUUUGAAGACUUUAAGAAAACCAUCAAUUCUGUUCUUCCAAAAUUAUCUGAAAGAAUCAUAAUUGAAGCCUUCAGAGAGGUUGAUCAGGAUUCUGAUGGGUGCAUCAGCUUCAAAGAGUUUGAAUGUGCAAUGAAGCACGGACAAGAUGAAGUAUCACCAUUGUACUUCGCCUGAAGAAUGCUCUCUGGUGAAAAGACAAAGUGAAAACUUCAGAUCUCGAGUUAUUUAAAAAUCAAUGAAACUUCAUUUGUUUCAGCCAGCAUUUUAAGAACUUUGACUGUAAGUGUAGCUCUGAAGAACAGCCUUUGAAGCUUUACUGUUGACAAGUUGGGUGUAUUAAUUUACAUGUGUAUGUGUGCAUAGAAUACUUAAAAUAUUUGAAAACUCAGUUGAUUCCCAGUCACCCUAGUUAGGAAAUGCAACUCUGUACUUUUUGGCUUAGCAGAUAGAAAAGACCUGACUCUGAUUUCCAGUUAUUGUAAAAUGUACGCAUUUGAUUUUUCAACAGCCUUUUGUUGACUGACCAAAAUACCUACCAAAAUAUGUAGAAACUGAUUAAGAUUAUAGUGGAUAAUUCUUGUUUGUUAGAAAUUAAUAGUAUAUUUGUCUUUCCUUUACGGUUUCACUUUCAUAUAGUGCUCUUUUUUAUAUUGCAAGCUAUUUUUAAUUUAACAGUUUUGAGAACAGCCCUUCUCAUGUGAACUUACAGACUGUAGCACACACUUAAUGCUACUGUAAAUAAAUAAACCAAUAAUAAUGAUCAGUAAGAGGAAAAGAGUAUCAGUUCUACUGUUAAGUCAAAAGAGAAAUCUGCAAUAUCUUCCUAACUUUAGUGGGGUAUUCCAAAAUAUAAUAUGUGGGCAAAUUGUUUAUGAAAUAACAUCUAUGUUUUCUGUUUCAAUUUCAUACAUGCACCUUACUAGAUACACAAAAAGUGGAAUCUUCUUUAAUUCCAAGGCAGAUGGUACAUAAAUAAUGGGAUGAAAUUGGAGGCACUGAAUAUAUGAGCAGAUAUAUCCGAUUCUAUGUUCAAGAACCAGGUAUCCAUUAGAUGAAAUGAGCUGUAACUCAAACAGCAUGCUUUCUGUGCUAAUCAGGGCAAGAGAAAUGGUGUUACCUUUUAAAGGUGGUGGAAAGACCUGAUAAUAGAUUGAGAGUUAGCCUUAGAAAUGCUAUUUCCCAAUAGAUGAAUGUUUUCAUAAGAGAAUCAUCACCAUGGAUGUUAAUUAGCAAUAUCAUCACAGUCUCUGCUGAGACACAGAAGAUUGAAUUAUUAUCCCAUAGGGACAGUUGCUACAGGUCUAGCCACAUUCAUGGAAAAAAAUGUAUGAUGGGUUGCUGUGCUAUUACUUACACUACAUUUUUUUGGUCAGUGUACUUCAGUCUACUGACUCAGGUGUCCGGUCCCUAUACCUGUCCCAAACACUAAUUUCAUGAAGUAUUAUUUUAUUUAUCUCAAACUAAUUAUUUAUUAAGGAGCAACUGAUGUGAAGUUUCUAUCUUACAGAAAUCUCAUUUUCAGCACUAGAUUCCAUUUAGCCAUUAAAAAGUCUAUGAUGUCUUGUUAGUAUUACUAGCCAGUGUUUAUCAGAGUUUGAUUAGCAGACUGUAGAACACUUCAGCUAUCACUGCAAAUUGAUAAAAUUAGGAAUGACAUUUAGUGGCGUGGGUGAAGUGGGAGGUUAUUCUCACUAAUGAUUUGGGAAACAAAAACAGCAGCUACCCAAGGAUUGGAUGAAAGAUGCUUUUCAUUUUUGUGUAAGUUCCAUUGCUGAUGUAACAGCUUCCUUUUUGGUCAACAGGAAAGGACUAGUAGAGCUGUGAUCAGCAUAGCUUACCAACUAUAACACUAGGGUUACUUAAAGGGGAAUAUACACUCACCAACAGGUUACGUUCUUACUUGUAAUACUUCCUAGCAACAAUGAUAGAAGCUCAGCAGGAAAAAAAAGUUUAGCUUAAUGACAACCAUCUUUGGCAGAAUCUUGGGAGCCAAAUUGGGUCUGAACCUCUAUGAAUGGAAAGCUGAACAUAAGAGCAAGUAAUUACUGAUACGUCCUAUGGAACAGCACAGAGUUCUCAUGGUCACUACCUCCUGAAUGGUUACUGCAGCAGCAUCUAUCCUCACACAGGAUUCCAUUAUCAAAGUACUCCACAAACACAUCUCUUGAAUAUACACACUCUGGAAAGUGGUAAAUGGGCAUUUGUCAAUACAUCUGAUUGCAACCACCGCCUGAAGACGGAGAUCCUUUAGCAAGAGGCCCGAGAACUGGACACAUGAAGGAGAUUCAGGCACAGGAGGAAAAAAAAAAGGAAGAAGCUCAGGAGAAGCAGGCUACCACCAGUAGCUGAAUGGGUGGAUCUCCGAAGAGGCCUGAGUCGCUUCAAUGGCUUUUCAGUACAGAUAAGUUACAGUUUUUUCUGCUCUGGCGCAUCCUCUGAAGGCUGAGAUGAAAGACAUGAUUCACUAGACUAAGACAUAUCCUGAAUCAAGAUGCCAGCCCCCUCCUGCACCCCACGCUCCAGAGGCUGGUCUGCUGAAUGAUGGCUGUAUCUGCCCCGAGGACACUGUGAGCCCCACUCCCAGGGUGAGAGGAGAAUGAUGGCAAAAGAAUUUGGUAUAUCCUUGCUCCCACCUUCCUGUUCUUGAAAGCACAGGACAUCUGUGGGAGGAUUAUCUCUGGAGGCCUUGAUGGAGAGUACCAACCAGUCUUCAUGUGAAGACACUCUGCGUUCCUCAGCACUUACCCGUGAUCUGCAUCCUUGACAGAUUAAUCUUAAUGUUACAAAUGCCUGCAUAGUUGAUGCCCUCAGCCAGGACCUUGCAGCUUGAGAGAUGUGUCCCCAGACCCCCCUAACCCAGCUGAGGAUGGAGGGAGCAGCCUGGUACACCCCAAGUACACUUCUCCUCCCAGUUAGGAAGACAUUAUUGCUGCCAGAGUACACGCUGUCCAUUCUUUAACCAGACAAGACUGGAUAAGAAAGGUAUAUGGAUGGUUUAUACAGGCAAGACAAGGGACAAAAAUACUGGUAGGUAACAGUGAAAGUUGUAACUAAAGAAAAGAGCUGUAGAGAGAAAAAAAAUGCCAGUCUGCUUUAUCAAUUAAGAUCUCAAGCUGUUUCACCACUUCCUAGCCCAGGAAACUGGCUUCCUCCUCAGCCCCCCUCCUCCCCCCCAGCCAGGUGUGCACUGGGGCUGCCUAGUGCUGCUCCCCCAGGCAGGGAGGUGGGCCCCUGUUCCUGAUAGCCAGGAAUCUUAUGUUAAGGAUGUGGUGGUAAAAUGUCAUAAAUUGCAAUAAUUGAGGGGAACAAAGGCACUUUACUAUCACUUCAUUAGAAUUGCACUAUCCUUUCUAUGCUGAGCUUUUUUUUUUUUUAAAGACCAGAAAUGAUGUGACCAUUAGAUAAAGCAUCCAUCUCCAUGUAUCUGUACAGUUAAUUUAAGGGUGACACUCUUAGCCGGGUCCCAUCAGGAGGAAAAGGAUAAUACACUAUUAAAGUUGCAAUUACUGUAUUAGGCUCAAAAUGUAAAUCCAUAUACCAGCUGUUAUAAUCUAGCAAAGAAGGAGGGGGAAGUCUGGCAAAUAGUUCUUGUGGGCUUUUAUAUAGCUGCUCAUAACAGUGAAAUUAAAUGAAUACAUGUGUAUGUGUGUACAGCUAGAUUUAUAGACUCUCUUUAAAAUGUAAGCACUUCAGGUCCCGCUGAAGUAGCAGAAAACAAGCUGGGAUUGUUCCACCUGCAUAACUGGCCUUCAGCUUCCCAGUGUUCAGAUAUACUUUGCAAUGCCAGAGGGACUCACCUACUCCUCAACCUCAACUGUUUCUUGGGGCAGGUGUGGGAAUUCAGAGGGUUGACCUUUGGAGCACUGUGAAGCAGAGAGGAAGCUAAUGCUGCAAAGAGUGUUUCCUUUGGCAAGUGCUACCCCCUUCCCUGUGCCAGGACCCCUCUGUGAACCAAAGCCUUCAGGGCACCAGUACUGGCUGCAGCACAAAGCCAUGUUUAGUAGCUGUGAUUUUUUUUUUCUUAUGUAUUUUCUCUCCUUUAGAUAUUCUUGGCUAGAUCUCUAGCAACCUACUGUAGCUUUGCUACAGCUUUGCUUUGCUUGCUUCAGCAGAGAUUUGUCAAUUUGGAGUAGCUGAGGGCAUAACCCUCACUCCAGAGAGAUGAAAUGCCUUGUUCAGACACCAGUACCUUAAUGGAGCUGGGAACAGCACAUACGUGGAAUGUUCACAGUAAGAGCUUCUCUUCAUGUGCCACCUGCUACCAGAAUGGUCUGGAGAUCUGCAGGAGGUGCCCUUCAGUAGCUGAAAUGGCACAGCUGCUUUUUCAGUGAUGAGAAAUAACAUUUCUGAGCUCACUGAGCACAGUCCAGGAGCACAUACGAUCGUAUUCUAGAAGGAACCACUCUGCCUUUGGGUACCCUGUGAUUUCAUCUCCUUUACUUUUCAACUUUCCCUCUUACUGCAACUGUGCUGUUGCCAGCCUUUGCUAUUUCAUAUGAAUACAGCUUGUUUCAGCUUUUCAAAGUCAUCCUGCAUGAUAUUCCUACCCUUUGCUGCACUGGUGAUGCUUCCUAAAUUUGUGACAUCAGAAAACUUUUCUAAUACAAAUUUAUAUUUUAAAGUAAUAUCACUGUAACUUCCUUCUUGCAUAUACCUCUAAUGAAAUUGUCGUACAGGAGCAGUCCAUGAAUGGUACUUUAUGUCCCUCCUUGUGUGGAAAGCUCUGUUGGUGUGGUCCUUCCUUUUCCAUCAAAGCCCGCUGUCCUGUUGCUCUGGCCUGAUCAAUGUCUACUACAUAGCUGUGCUGUGAAUUGCACAGGCUGAUUUAAAUGGUAAAUUCCCCCAUGCCACUAUAGUAAAUGCUUUGCCAAAGUCCAAAUAACUGUAAUUUUGUUUCUUCUGUUUUCCCUUUGGGGAUAAAUAGCAGAUAACUUUUGGUAAGUUCAGACUACUUCUCCCUUCCCUCCCAUAUAUUUAAAAAUUAUCCAAGCAAAAGGAUAUACAUCCGCUCCAGUAACUUUUCAUUUCCCAGUGUAGGUGUUACCUGUGGUGUUCUCCAGGAAGCCUGUGCCCCUUUAUGGUGGUAUUCAGUGUCCUGGUUGCUCAGAAGCAGGAGGGAGCUCACCCCACUGCUGGUCCAUCCAUCCGCAUCUAAACACACAGCAUUUCCACUUUCUCUUCCAUUAUCCAUCCUUUAAAUAUAGUCUAUCCUUCAUUGAGUUCAGUAUUGCUCUUAUUACAGAAAACAGAAGCACCCAUUUAUAUUUGGAGCCAUGUUUGAUUCUCUCUGAUCUUUACAUCGUUCCCAUCAGUUCCAUGCUUUCCCCUCAAUCUCCUUUUAUUUAUAUAAAUUAGGAGCCAUUUAUUUUCUUUGCAAUGCUUCACUUUCAGCAUUUUCCACCGUAUUUCUGCACUCUCUGAGCUCCAAGUCAGUUUUCCUAUCUGAUGCUUCUUCCUUUCCAUGCCGUGUAAGUGCUCAGAUUGCUUGGACUUAAAGUGAUUAAGUUGGCUUUGUUUUAAAAGAGAUAUGAGGUUCUGUGGCAAGAGGCAUGUCCCAUGUGCCUUGGCCCCAUCCUUUGGUGGUAGUGGCACUGUGAGCAGGGUCAUCUCCACUCCUUGGAGUGGGACAGAGGAAACCAGAGCUUGGCAGUGCCUUAGAUUUUUGCCAGGAGAUAAAUAGGUCAAUAUAUUUCAGGACUGCACUGGCAACCUGGUAUGUCUGAUCUGUGAGUAAUAGCCAUUUUGAAGUGAUUAUUCAUCCUGUUAGAUCUGAAGCAUCUCUCUAGGAGUGUUGUUUUUCUGCCCUCCUAACUUACGUGAAGGUUUCUUUGAUGUGAAUGUCAAGUCCUCUUUAAACUGAAGUUAUUUGGUCAACUUAUUUUCACUAGUUGUUUCCUGGUGGUUCAAUAAAUAGUCGCAGAUCUAUUUUUGUUGACUCUUUGAUUUAAUUUUAAGUGAACCAGCCCAUGCUUGCUCGUUGCAGAAUUUUUGUCUAUGAUUAGCUCUUGCAUGAGCUUUUCUGCUUACCAAAACCAGGUCUUAAAUGCAGCUCCCUGUAUCGACUCCUUGGUGAGGAGAUCUGAUGCUCUCAUUGAGCACCUGGACCAUAAUACUGCUGGCUGCAUUUGUUCUGCACUGUAGGCAUUGGAUAUGGUAUUGCUGCGAAUGCAUUAUGGAACUAAAGCUUUUCUUGAUGUUGUUCUCCAGUUGCUCAAAGGUUCAGUAGAACCAACUUUUACUGUCCUUCCUUGGAAUUAUUCUGGCUUCAACAGAUUUGCCUUCAGCCUGUACUGCCUUGUCUUUGCUUUAUAACCUAUCACACUGUGGUGCUAUAACAUCCGUCUGCCAAGAUAAUCUUUAUUUCCAUCUUUCCUGAACUGUAUGUACCUUUCAAGGAUUCGCAGAGCACAGGUAAAUAGAGUAGCUUUCAGGACAGUGUUUUCCUUAUGCCUUUCAAGUUCUUUAUUCUGCUGUAGUGGAGACUGAGUAGCCAUUUCUCCAGCUUUUUGUAACCUUAUUUCCUGCCUUAGGCUGGCAGGGAGUAGAGGCAUGUACUUUCACACUAAUCACAUGGGGUUUCUCAUACUGAAUUUUACUGUGGGAUUCCAACAGUAAUAAUAUUUCUUUUUAAAAAAAUUCGAAGGCUUGCUUUCCAAAUGUGCAAAAAGAAAAAAGCACUAAAAUCUUCCCCUGGAAACCUGUUUGUCUUGUCUGAGGAACAGGUAUUUCAGGGUCUUCAUUAGGAAUAUCUGAGCUCUGCAGAUGCCAUGCUAAUGUUUGCCUCCACUCUGGAUGACACCAGUGCUCUUAGCAUGUUCACCACCUAUCUUCCCCAUCUGAGACAACGACCUCCUUGGGUUUUCCCCAUCCUUUAUUGUAUAUUCCACUAUCCAUCUGCUAUUAAUCACUCAUAAACCUAGCCUAAUCAUGACAAAUAUGUGAAGAACUAAUUUGCUGUUCACAAGAUGAGAUGAAUUAGGUUGAAUAAUGAAGGCACUGAUGCCACUAACUUGAUUUGAUUUGUAUAUGUUUAGACACAUUUAAAGUCAAUGGAGAAGUAUUUGCAACUUGCAAGGCUCAAAUGUUUCCUGGUUAUUAUCUUCCCUUUUGUAAUAAUCAAAUUCAUUUGCAGAUAACUACAAGAAAGCAACCCAAUAACAAAAGAUUUAUACCAUGUUGGCAGUUGAAAUGGUCAUUUGAUUUCCAAUGGGAGUCUGUUGGCAGGUAGAUCCUCAGCAGUGCUCAUUUUCAGUUCUACCUAUUUAUGCAAUCUGUAUGAUUUACCAUGCCACGGAGAAGAGUCUAUUACAGCUUCUGCAAGUAAACUAGAUGCUAUGUUAGAUAGCCAAGUUUCCUAGAGCUAUUAGCCAUACAAAUACAAGAUAAAUUGUUUUCCUUGUGUUAGGAAAUCAAGGUGAGCCUGCUAAAAACAAUAACAAUAUAUCAAUAUCUUAAGUUUUCUAUUAAGCUCCGUUUGCCUGCAGCUCUUAGAGCUGAAGGCAGAAUGGGUUGACCAGCUCAAGGAAGUAACACUUCCAACAUCCCAAUUCAAAAGGGCACAUGGCCGGACUGUGGAAAAGAAGCUUGUACGUUAUAAAGUAAUGUUUUCUUGAAUCAAGAACCUGAUGUCAAUCACGUUUUUCAGUUGCAGAAGCCUGUUGUUUAUUGCAGCGGCACAUUUUGUGUAAGUUCCUUCCUGAUUUACAAUGAUUCACAUUGAUAGACUUCUAGUCUAUGACACCGCCAUCACAAAUGGUAAUUUAUAACAGCUUUAGCUCUGCUCUUUCAGUGCUGGCUUUCAAGGACUGGAGCCAAGAGCUAUUCACCAGAAGUAAAUCUGGGAGGAAGUUCACUUACUAUGAAUAUUAAUUAAUGUUUAUAUACUACGGUUUAUUUUGUUAUGCAGUGAUUUAAUUCAGGCCAUCCAGAAUAGUGCUGUAUGGUUGAAGAGAAUCAGUAGCCAUGUGCUCAAUUCAUUUCAGAGAUAAACCUGCUUCCAUUCAUUUUCUUUUAUGGCAUAACCUGAAAACAAGCUUUCGUCAACAUGGCAGAAAGGAGAGUGUGUAAGGCGGUGACAAGUGGUGCUUCUCUGUUCUCUGUAAUUAUGCAAUAAAGAGAAGAUGUUCAGAUUCACCUCCAAGCCCUUCCCCUGUGUUGCUCUUCCCAUGUGAGAGUUAACCUCUUUACUUUGCUGCUUUCUUCUUAUUCAGACUAAUCAUCUCCUUGCGGAGAUGCCAGUGGAAGUGAUUGAGACAAAGGGGCGUAGCAUCAUCUUGAUGCUGAAGAGCUUUCAGAGGAGGUAAGUGUGUGACUUCCCAGCAGAGCAAGUGGAGAAUAAGCAGCUGAAAAAUCUUUCUUCAUUUCUAAGAAAAACAGGAAUGGCCAGGCCAUUGCCGAGUGCUGACAUGUUUGUAUUGUUUGUGUUGCAUUGUUUUGUAAUCAAAAGUCAGUAUUUAUUGGACUAUACUCUCAAAAGGUCUCAUCUCAAAAUACUCUCAUAUCAGAAUCUGUGAUAAGACUAAAAACCCUGAUGGAAACUUAGCCCCAGCAAUUUUUUUUUCUGACAUCAGCUCUUCCGUGCCUUAAAGUAUAACCCCAAAGCCCUGAGCUCUCCACUAAGGAGGCUGGAUGUGGGAGCCAGCCAGCAGAGCCUGCUGCGUCCAAGCCCUCUUUGUAAGAGAGGUGGCUGUGGCUCUGGACAGUCUCUGGACUGCCUCCUUCCUUCUGCCUGCAGAGCACAGCCAUGGCCUCUCAGAAAGCUGCUGCUGGUGCCUGUCCUUGCCCUGUGGCUACACCAGCCUAGGGAGACCCUUCCAUGCAUCUUGCAUGCAUGGUAUAGCAGAUAAGCCACAAAUAGUUUGUGCCUACUUCAGUAAGUAGCUCACCGAUGUAGCAUACCAUUGUAAUGGAGAAAAAACCCUAAUUCCAUUAAAUUGGAUGUUAGGCAUAAUAGCUGGACCCUUAAGGUUAAAGAAAUCCGAUCCAUUCAGGUGGCACAGAACAGCCUUCAGUGCAUUGCACAGCCUAAGGAGAGAGCAGAGUGUUGCCCACUGUAUUUACUAUCAUGUUUGUUUUGGGAGCUAAAUUAUUCUUACUAAUUCUGCUAGCAGUGUAAUACGCUGUCUCAGUAAUGGAAAGCAUAUGAAAGCAAGCAGAUGGCGAGAGCAGAAAAAACCCAAGCAUGUCCUGAUAAUGUAGUAAGCAAGUUCAUUUUUUUGGCAUUAGGCUUUCAUAACCGAGGCAUGGUGAUAACAAGUACAGACACAUUUUUAAAGCGCAGUUCAUCAAAAAAUAUAGCCAGUUUCAUUGCAGAGCAAUGGAAGAUUACUUUGAGACUUUUAUAUAGAUAAAAGCUAGAUGUGAAUGUUGUUGAAUUAGACCCAUCAUUUAUUAUUGCUGGCAGAUGAGUGACAGCAGAUACUGGUCAGAGUGAUGCCAUCGCAGUCCUGUGAUCGCACGUAUCUUCACGAAUGUAGAGUUUCUCACCCGUUCACUUGCAAAUAUGUAGCCACCCUGUAUGCCAGAAAAACCACAGGCACUUUGAUACAGGGUGUUAUCGCAGUGGGCAGUAUUGGAAAUUCCAAGUAUUUUAUUUUGCUUCUAAAGCUUUCAGUCUCUGGUUGGAAGUUGUGAAGCUCAAGGCUGCUGCUGCUUCAAUAUCUGCGUAUCUGCAGCACGUGUGGAUCCCACCUGGUUUGGCCCCAUUCCCUGCGAGGAGGGCACUGCAUGGGGAGUGCUCAGCAUGUCUAGAGAAGAGUGGCCUCGCCUCUCUGCUGAAGCAAACAGUCCUGGCAUGGAGUUUUGGGGGGGAGGAGGCGGUGGAAGUAACUUGACUACCUCCAACCCACAUUUUUUUUGUUGUUUUUUUUUUGUCUCUCAGGCCAAGAUAUGGGCAGAAGCAAGGCCAGAUUCACUGUUUACACAAUCUAUCACUUUAAGGUUCUUCAGAGAAGGGAUACAUUAAUUUUUGUUAUGAUUUCACUUUGAAGCAGCGCAGCUGCAUCUUUGUGUGACAUGUCAAGUGGCUCCAGCCGUGCAUUGUGAGAUGGGGCUGCAAGCAAAGCCCUGCCCUCAGCUUCCAGGAGUUUGGUUCAGAGAGAGCAAGGGAGGAGGAGCUGCCAAUGCUGCUGUGUGGGGAGCAAGUGCCAGUUCAGGGAGUGAACAGAACUGAGCAGUGAUCUCUUCUGCAGGGAAGGGGUGAGGAGAGACGGCCCCCUUUCUCAUGAAACCAUGUAAUUGGUUAUAAUGCUCAUUUUUCACCAUUCAAUAGCACAGCGUGUUAAGUAAUGAAAGUUUUUAAAUAUUUCAUAUGCAUCUGGUUCGUUCCUGAUUUGAAGAAACAAAGGCAAGAAAGCCUUUCUGAUUGCUUGCUCCCUCUGAGGGCCUUGCUCUUGCUGCUUCCUGAGGAAAGUUGUCUCCCUUUAUCUUUUUUUAGCAAUGGAUGCUGAUUUAACCUCCCAGGAAAUCAUGUCUUUUCUUCUGUGUUGCUUUUAGUAUCUCCAGGAAGUGGCAGGUGGCACCACUCAGGAGAUGACUUUGAUGGCCCCAUGUCCUCUCUGUUUCAUUACCCAGGCAGGAGGUGGGACUGCUGUUACACCUUGUUCCCAGCUGUUUUCUGCUCCCAAGGCUGUGCCACCCAUCUCGUUGCUGUGGCUUUCUCUUGUGGGGCCUGGGGACAGAUGCAGAAGCCAGGUGACACGGAUGCUUUGCUGCCAGCGCGGGGCCUGAGGCUGUAUCCUGGUGGAGCCUGGGCAGGGGCUGAUCGGCUCAGGAGAGAUGGGAUGGGACAGGGUCUGCCCUAAUGCUGAAGGCCCAGCUCAAACCUCUGGGGGCGGGAGACCCUGUGCUGAUAGCCAGAAGUCAGAGCACGUUGCUUCCUUCUGCUGUGGUGUCUCUGCCAUCUGCAAAUCCCUCCAGCAGCGGCACCCUGCCUCUGCCUUGUUCCCACUUUGUUUAGGCUAAAGCCAGUGGGUCUGUCUUCAAAGCAAAGUGCGGCUUUCCCUGUGGAAAAAUCUCACUCCUGACUUUUGCUCUGUCCCCACAUCAAGCCAGCUUUCAGUGCACUGCCUGUAAGCAACUGUUAUUUUUUGUGUUUGUCCUGCAGUGAGCCAUAGCGUUCUGUGUCACCAUACCUCUAGACAAGGCUGUGAAAGCAGUUGAGGACUUUUCCAACAACUGAUGCCUGCUGCUGCUGCUCACAGCCAGCACAAAGCCUUCCCACUGCCAGGCCUGCCUGCUCUGGGCUGCUGUGUUUAUUUCUGGGGUUAGAGGGGAAGGGGGGGGAACUGUAUCUGGGUAUUUUAAUUAGAUAAUAAUAAUGGAAACAAGUGGCACUAUGGCCACUUCCUAAACAGAGACAUCUGUUUGUAGAGUCCUGGCCCUAUUGGAGAGCACUAGGUAGGACUCAUCAGGCCAAGUCGUCGCUGCAGCUGUGCUGGGCAGCCCUGGAGCCCACUGGCUCCUCACAGGGGUGCUGGAGCACACUGGGGGCAUCGCUCCCCUCCCACUGCCCAUGCACUGCUGGAUGUGGCACAGCACUGCUACAUACAAAACCCUACUGAAGUUAUUUGCCUCAGUCUCACACAUCUGAGUCUUGUAACUUUGCUGCUGGUUCAUUUUCAGGAGGGACAGGAUAUAUUACGGAGCUAAAUUCUCACGGGCAAAUAAUAAGUCCUAGCACCUGCUGGCUGGAACCCACAGGCUGUGACCUGUCUCCUCCAAUGUUUGUAUUUUCCUCUGCGGGAAAGAGCAACAUGGUAAAGAAUUCCUAUUAUUUCAAAUAUUUCACCAUGGUGUUAUCUAGCCUAGUCUAAACAAUGGUCCCGAUUGCUCUUGAGAGUUGUACUCUGCAGGAGAAAACGGUAACAAAUGUUGUUAUUCCCAACGUGAUCCCCCCCACUACGGGGACACAGAUAUUUGUGACAUGGAAUGGCAGUGUGCUCCUGGAAGCAUCAAUCCAGAUAUGUUAGCUGAAAAAGAGGAAAAAAUUGCCUCCCUUGCCAAAUUCCAAACUGAUCCACCCAGAAGAAGAUCCAUGCUGUGAUGCUUCUGUCCUGGACGUGCCAUUUGUUGAUGCAGGAAGUGGAUCACAUCCCAGGCUCUGGGAAUGUGCAGGAUGUGUCACUUGCCCCAUUGCCUUACAAACGAUAAAUCUCUAAAACCUCACUAAAAGCUGUAAUACUGCAAAAGCUGCAGCCAUGGCAAUUAUUUGCCUUCAUGUUCACUGACCCACUGAAGGAACCAGGCUGUGAACACCCUGACUCUAGUGGGAAAUGCCUGGACAGCCAGACCUGACCCAAAUGUCCAAACACAGCCAAACUUCAGCCUGAAUACACAUAACACAGUUAAUCCCGACUUAAUUUAUGGCAGCCUGAACCUGAAUGUGAACUCACCCACUGUGUUACCAGAGAUCCGAACCUGGAUUUGGCUCCCAAAUAGCUUGGGUCUAGGUCUUGAAAUUACCCAGUUGUUGGCUGCAGUCUGCUUUGGAGCUGGAGAUUUAUUUCUCCAGGAGGCAGGAAAACACAUUGUGUUGCCAAACUACUUCCAGUCUUUUCCAGAAUUACAAGUCAGGGGAUGGUGGGUAAGUCUUGUGAUUUUCAUCCUACAAUCUAAACCAGAUGGACUACUCUCGCAGCAUAAAUAUUUAAGCAAAAAAAAAGCAAAAAAAAAAAAAAAAAGUUCAGUUUCUUAAUUAAUUGCAUUAUUAUGACUUGCACUAUUUAACAGGAUGCGCAUAAAGCUGGUUUACAAGAUAGCUUGAUCACCUUCUUUGAUUCAUCUCAAUAAAAUCUGGAGUUUUUGUUUUCUCAGGGAUAAUGAAGUAACUGUAGAAUAAUAAAGCGGCUCUGCUUAUUGGAAACAGAAAGCUCUCAGCUUUCGGAAGAAAAGAUCCUCUCGGUGAAGCUCGUGCUGUAUUAAUCCAAAAAUACAAAUAAGUGGAGGUGAUCUGGAAAGCCUGUGUUACUGACAUCAGCCCAGCAUUUCUGCCACUGAAGAUCCUCUUCUCCGGCCUCAACUCAAAAAAUCUUUGUGGCAGAUUUGGCAUUGCCUGUAAUAAUUUAUGAACGUGAUGUGUUGACAUGUUUACUGUGUGCAUACAUUGAGCUACUUCAAUCGCUGCCUUGUCAGGAAGUGUACCCAGGAGAGAACAGAUGAAUCCAGGCACGCGGUUUGGAGGAAACACUGGGGAGCUGAAGCAUGCGCCCUUUGCUGUGACAUUUUGGCUGGGCCCCUGCUGGGCUCACAGGAGAGAUUUCCCUGGGAGAACAUGGGUGCCUGUGAAGGAAGGCACAGAAGGCCCUGGGGGAUUCACAGUGAACCAUUUAAAUGGAGGCUUUGGAGAGUGAGAACCUGAAAGGGGCUGAAAGCGCUCCGAUCUGCAGGUACCUAAUUCAGUACAUGUUGGCGAUAAAGGGGAUGUGGAACAUUUGUUUAACCGCCGUGCCUUAUUUCAGUGGUGAAAUGGCUCUUCUGUUUUAUAAACAUGGUUUAGGUUGCACAAGAGAGCUGGAUGCCUCUGUUCCCAGGUCCAUGUGGGAAUCAUGGUGAUUGUGCUGGGUAGGCUGGCUGGAGUUUGGCAAAGCUACAUCAGCCUGCCUGCAGGAAGGUGAGAGCUUGAGGCCUGGCGGCCUUCCCCAGACGGGAAGGCAGAAAGGCCACUGAUAGCUGAGAUCCAGCAGUAACCAUAACAAUACCAUCAUCUUUCUUAAAAGUCCCAGCACGUAAUUCUACUAAUGACUUUUAUUAAACAUUUAAGCCUUA